UACGUAGGGUGCAAGCGUUGUCCGGAAUUAUUGGGCGUAAAGAGCUCGUAGGCGGUCUGUCACGUCUGCUGUGAAAACUCGGGGCUUAACCCCGGGCCUGCAGUGGGUACGGGCAGACUAGAGUGCGGUAGGGGAGACUGGAAUUCCUGGUGUAGCGGUGAAAUGCGCAGAUAUCAGGAAGAACACCCGUGGCUAAGGCGGCUCUCUAGUACGGUACUGACGCUGAGACGCGAAAGCGUGGGGAGCGAACAGG
rnacentral:rRNA from 1 species